rnacentral:lncRNA from 1 species
CCCCAAAUUCAAUUUCAAGUUCAAUUCUCAAAUCCCAACCCCACCAAGUUAACUCAACUGCUUACGCCGAAACUCUUACCACCCUACACCGGCUAUCAUUCCGACAACAAUGGCGAAUUCAGAAAUUGUUUGCGGAGGAACAAAAUUUAAAAGGAUAAAAGGUCUCAAAAAAAUAUAGACAACAAAUCUUUUUCAGAUAGUAGACAAUAUUAAUGUUGUUCAUAAUGCAAAAUUAAAAGAGGAAGGGAGAGAAUUAGACAAAUAAAAUAAAAUAAAUGAAUUAUUUACUCAUAAUGAUACCUAGAAAUCCAGAAAAUCCAUUCCAGUAACAAAACAAUCAUAAAAUCCCAAACCACUCUACAUAGCCACAUCCAGACCAGCAACAACCACGAACUCAAACCCUGAACGCAGAUCCGAUGGCCAAAACGGUGACGAUGACGACCAAGGCAGAGAUAAAUGAGGGGGAGGGAUGUGGCUGGGGAGACUUUGGAGCGGGUCCAAUGCAGGUUUUUUCAAGUACUCAGACAGAUCCUUACUCUUAGGGUCGAUUUCUGAUGACUGGAAGUGUGGCCAUACCUCCUUGCGCCUAUGUAGCUUCGCCAUUGUCUGAGGACCACCUAAACCGCAUCUUUCAAAUUCCAAAGUAAGUUAUUCAUAGCUUAUUCAAAUUAAAUUUCUAAUUGUUUUAGUGAAUCGGUUAAAAAUUGUUUCUUUUAUGAAUAAUUAGAGUUGAUUAUUAAUGUGGAUCAUAUAUGAUUUUUAUUUAGAUUGAUUGAUAUGUGUGUUUUAGACCUUUUAUUUAUAAAUAGACAAAAGUUUUUAUUUAGACUAUUGAAUGGGUUGAGUUUUGUGUGAGGAGUUGGUUUGUAUGAGUUUAUAAUUAUGUGUAUUUGCUACUUACAUUACCUUUGGUUUAUAAUCAUGUGUAUGAGUUUAUAAUUGAGUGUCCAUGUCAUGAUACACGUGUAGUUGACUCAUGAUUUAGAAUGAGGAUUAUUUUCAGAUUUUCUUUGUAAAAGAUCAUGGGAGUUUCAAAUUGUGUCGUUUAUCGUAUAUUGUGUAGUAAAAAAUUAUUUUAAAUAUUUUUAUUUAAAAUUAAAUAUGAACAAUAUCUGAUGAAAACUAACCGCACGACAUAUAAUAAAUGGACACGAUUUAAGGAUCAUCGGGAUUCUCGUUCCAUGAUUUGUAUCUUUGUAUCUUUCCUUUUGUUUGGAUUUUUGCUUUAUCGAAAAAAUUUCUCACUUGAAAUUUACCACCAACAAAGAAUUAAAUCCUUGCAUGUUUCAACUUAUGUCCCUUUUUAGGUCAGCUCUUACUGCAGAAAUUCCCAGGUGCUUAGCAUUAUAAGCAAUUAACCAGCCAUGUUCCACUCUGAAUUAGUAAAUCAUCCAACGACAAACGAUUGGCAGUUUGAUGUUUCCAUUUUCUAAAAUCCAAGAGAAACUUGUAUUUUUUUUUUCUGCAACCAAUUGAAAGGGACACAAUAAGAAGCAUGCAUAUAUAUUCAAUACAC